GCACGGGUAGCUCAGUUGGUUAGAGCAGCGGUUUGUGGAACCGAAGGUCGACAGUUCGAAUCUGUCCCCGUGUA
rfam:Pelagibacteraceae bacterium GOM-A1 A1_S1_43, whole genome shotgun sequence.